GCUCAUAGAUAUUGGACUCCCUGUUCAUUAUUGCUUUUUGAGAUUAUUUCAUGUUCAUACAAUUACUUCAUGAAUGUCUUGAUUAGAGAUCUUUAUGUCGUGUGGGUCGUUGCUAGAUGAAUGCCAUGUUCUUUUCAUUGUCGCUGCGACAACGAUCAGCGAUCCAGAUUUAUAACUAACUUGAGACACGUGGCUGUGGUGAGUAACACACGUAACACCAUUAAAACAUUCGCAUCGCCUCCUUUUCACCAUUCCAACUAUCGCUCAUUUUUCCAGCGAUACCCGUGGAAAUGAUCGCAGCUACUCCUUUUUUAUUAUCCUCCAUUUCUUUUACUUCUGUUGAUGUUAAAAUUCUGGUCGCUUAAAGCUGUCGCAACAACUUUGAACCGAACAGGGCCAAAAUAAAAAAUCAAUCUUUUUAGGGAACUUUAGGUGGCACUGAGUAAUAUGUGAUUCUCAUCGCUGUAGUUUUGU